rnacentral:rRNA from 1 species
AUUGAACGCUGGCGGCAUGCUUUACACAUGCAAGUCGAACGAGUGGCGCACGGGUGAGUAAUACAUCGUAACGUGUCCUAUCGUGGGGGAUAACUGAUCGAAAGAUCAGAUAAUACCGCAUACGAUUGGAGCGGCCGAUGCCCGAUUAGCUAGUUGGUCAGGUAAAGGCUCACCAAGGCGACGAUCGGUAGCUGGUCUGAGAGGACGACCAGCCACACUGGGACUGAGACACGGCACAGACUCCUACGGGAGGCAGCAGUGGGGAAUUGUGGGCAAUGGGAGCAACCCUGAUCCAGCCAUGCCGCGUGCAGGAUGAAGGUUUUCGGAUGGUAAACUGCGGUUGUCAGGGAAGCGGUACCUGAAGAAUAAGCCACGGCUAACUACGUGCCAGCAGCCGCGGUAAUAC